rnacentral:rRNA from 1 species
UGAGGAAUAUUGGUCAAUGGGCGCAGGCCUGAACCAGCCAAGUCGCGUGAGGGAUGACGGUCCUACGGAUUGUAAACCUCUUUUGUCGGGGAGUAACGUGCGGGACGGGUCCCGUAUUGAGAGUACCCGAAGAAAAAGCAUCGGCUAACUCCGUGCCAGCAGCCGCGGUAAUACGGAGGAUGCGAGCGUUAUCCGGAUUUAUUGGGUUUAAAGGGUGCGCAGGCGGACAUUCAAGUCUGCGGUCAAAUUCCGGGGCUCAACCCCGGCCAGCCGUGGAAACUGAAUGACUUGAGUGGGCGAGAGGUAUGCGGAAUGCGCGGUGUAGCGGUGAAAUGCUUAGAGAUCGCGCAGAACUCCGAUUGCGAAGGCAGCAUACCGGCGCCUUACUGACGCUCAGGCACGAAAGCGUGGGG